rnacentral:rRNA from 1 species
GAGAGCUUGCUCUCUGGGUGACGAGCGGCGGACGGGUGAGUAAUGUCUGGGAAACUGCCUGAUGGAGGGGGAUAACUACUGGAAACGGUAGCUAAUACCGCAUAACGUCUUCGGACCAAAGUGGGGGACCUUCGGGCCUCACGCCAUCAGAUGUGCCCAGAUGGGAUUAGCUAGUAGGUGGGGUAAUGGCUCACCUAGGCGACGAUCCCUAGCUGGUCUGAGAGGAUGACCAGCCACACUGGAACCGAGACACGGUCCAGACUCCUACGGGAGGCAGCAGUGGGGAAUAUUGCACAAUGGGCGCAAGCCUGAUGCAGCCAUGCCGCGUGUGUGAAGAAGGCCUUCGGGUUGUAAAGCACUUUCAGCGAGGAGGAAGGGUGGUGUGUUAAUAGCGCAUCACAUUGACGUUACUCGCAGAAGAAGCACCGGCUAACUCCGUGCCAGCAGCCGCGGUAAUACGGAGGGUGCAAGCGUUAAUCGGAAUUACUGGGCGUAAAGCGCACGCAGGCGGUUUGUUAAGUCAGAUGUGAAAUCCCCGCGCUUAACGUGGGAACUGCAUUUGAAACUGGCAAGCUAGAGUCUUGUAGAGGGGGGUAGAAUUCCAGGUGUAGCGGUGAAAUGCGUA